rnacentral:snRNA from 1 species
AUGAUUUCUGGCCAUUUGGCUAAGAUCAGGUGUAUUGUCUGUUCUUAACAGCUUAACAGCUGCUAUGUUGUCAUUGCACACUGCCCAGAAUUAUUCUGGCAGACCCUAA